GUCCACGCCCUAAACGGUGGAUGCUAGGUGUGGGGGGUGUCGACCCCCUCCGUGCCGCAGCUAACGCUUUAAGCAUCCCGCCUGGGGAGUACGGCCGCAAGGCUAAAACUCAAAGGAAUUGACGGGGGCCCGCACAAGCGGCGGAGCGUGUGGUUUAAUUCGAUGCAACGCGAAGAACCUUACCAAGGCUUGACAUGCUAGUGGUACGGAUCAGAAACGUGAAGGACCCUUCGGGGAGCUAGCACAGGUGCUGCAUGGCUGUCGU
rnacentral:rRNA from 1 species